rnacentral:rRNA from 1 species
AGAGAGAGACAUGCGCGCAUAUCAAUAAGCGGAGGAAAAGAAACUAACAAGGAUUCCCUUAGUAACGGCGAGUGAAGCGGGAAGAGCUCAAAUUUGAAAUCUUCAAGGUUUUACCUUGACGAAUUGUAGUUUAAAGAAGUGUUUUCUGCUGAAGUUUUGGUAAAAGUUCUUUGGAAUAGGACAUCAUAGAGGGUGAGAAUCCCGUAUUUGACCAUUAUUUUCAGCUUUGUGAUACACUUUCAAAGAGUCGGAUUGUUUGGGAAUGCAGUCCAAAAUGGGUGGUAAAUUUCAUCUAAAGCUAAAUAUUGGCGAGAGACCGAUAGCGAACAAGUACCGUGAGGGAAAGAUGAAAGAACUUUGAAAAGAGAGUUAAACAGUACGUGAAAUUGUCAAAAGGGAAGCGUUUGACACCAGUGUUGUUUUCUCGAAAAUCAAUUAAAAAUGGCUCGAUUUUGUAUUGUUGAGACCUUAAAAGCUCACUGUACAUUUUUCGUGUCUUUUUUAAUGCACUUUUCGUUUAACAAGUCAACAUCAUGUUUCUUUUGUUGUAAAAGGGUCAUUGGAAGGUGGCUUUCUUUUCGGAGAAAGUGUUUAUAGCCUUUGGCCUCUGCAAUCGAAGAGACUGAGGUCUGCAGCGUAGACUCUUCGGGGUUAGAUACAUUUGUGCUAAGUUAUAGCUUUUUAUAGACAACUUGUUGACUGAUAAUUAGUCUUGUAGCUUACUCGCUUAUGCUAUUUUACCUACGCUUAGGAUGUUGAAGUCAUCGUAUCGCGC